rnacentral:rRNA from 1 species
GAAUUGUUCGCAAUGGGCGCAAGCCUGACGACGCAACGUCGCGUGGAGGAUGAAGGUCUUCGGAUUGUAAACUCCUGUUGACCGGGAAGACUGGACCCCGACUUCAUACUCCGGGGUAUUGACGGUCACGGUUGAGGAAGCCACGGCUAACUCUUGUCCAGCAGCCGCGGUAAUACAGAGGUGGCAAGCGUUGUUCGGAAUUACUGGGCGUAAAGGGCGCGUAGGCGGUCGCCUCAGUCGGACGUGAAAUCCCCAAGCUUAACUUGGGAACUGCGUCCGAUACUGGGUGACUUGAGUUCGGGAGAGGAAUGUGGAAUUCCAGGUGUAGCGGUGAAAUGCGUAGAUAUCUGGAGGAACACCGGUGGCGAAGGCGGCAUUCUGGACCGAAACUGACGCUGAGGCGCGAAAGCCAGGGGAGCAAACGGG